GAUGAACGCUGGCGGCGUGCUUAACACAUGCAAGUCGAACGGAAAGGCCCAAGCUUGCUUGGGUACUCGAGUGGCGAACGGGUGAGUAACACGUGGGGGAUCUGCCCUGCACUUCGGGAUAAGCCUGGGAAACUGGGUCUAAUACCGGAUAGGACCACAUUUUGGACGGGGUGGUGGAAAGUAUGUCGGUGUGGGAUGAGCUCGCGGCCUAUCAGCUUGUUGGUGGGGUAAUGGCCGACCAAGGCGUCGACGGGGAGCCGGCCUGAGAGGGUGUACGGCCACAUUGGGACUGAGAGACGGCCCAGACUCCUACGGGAGGCAGAAGUGGGGAAUAUUGCACAAUGGGCGCAAGCCUGAUGCAGCGAGGCCGCGUGGGGGAUGACGGCCUUGGGGUUGUAAACUCCUUUCGCUAGGGAAGAAGCGUUAUGUGACGGUAACUGGAGAAGAAGCACCGGCUAACUACGUGC
rnacentral:rRNA from 1 species